rnacentral:rRNA from 1 species
UGUCUUUUAGAAAUUAAUUUAAAGUCUAACCUGCCCACUGAAUUUUUUUAAAUGGCCGCAGUAUCCUAACUGUGCAAAGGUAGCAUAAUCAUUAGUCUUUUAAUUGAAGGCUGGAAUGAAUGGUUGGAUGAAAUAUUAACUGUUUCAUAAAAAUUUAUAAUAGAAUUUUAUUUUUUAGUCAAAAAGCUAAAAUUUAAUUAAAAGACGAGAAGACCCUAUAAAUCUUUAUAUUUAUAAAAUUACAAUUAUAUAGAUAAUUUAAAUUUUAAUUUUUUAUAAUAUUUUAUUGGGGUGAUAUUAAAAUUUAAUAAACUUUUAAUUUAUAAUUUACAUAAAUUAAUGAAUUUUUGAUCCAUUUAUUAUGAUUAAAAAAUUAAGUUACUUUAGGGAUAACAGCGUAAUUUUUUUAGAGAGUUCAUAUUGAUAAAAAAGAUUGCGACCUCGAUGUUGGAUUAAGAUACAGUUUUAGGUGCAGCAGCUUAAACUUAAAGUCUGUUCGACUUUUAAAUUCUUACAUGAU